UGGCUUGGGCAGCACAUAUACCAAAAUUAUAAAGAUGCAGGGAACAUUAGCAUGGCCUUUGCCAAGGAUAACAUGCAAAUUCAUGAAGUGUUCUAUAUUUUU